GCGGCAGGCUUAACACAUGCAAGUCGAGCGGAUGACGGGAGCUUGCUCUUUGAUUCAGCGGCGGACGGGUGAGUAAUGCCUAGGAAUCUGCCUGGUAGUGGGGGACAACGUUUCGAAAGGAACGCUAAUACCGCAUACGUCCUACGGGAGAAAGCAGGGGACCUUCGGGCCUUGCGCUAUCAGAUGAGCCUAGGUCGGAUUAGCUAGUAGGUGAGGUAAUGGCUCACCUAGGCGACGAUCCGUAACUGGUCUGAGAGGAUGAUCAGUCACACUGGAACUGAGACACGGUCCAGACUCCUACGGGAGGCAGCAGUGGGGAAUAUUGGACAAUGGGCGAAAGCCUGAUCCAGCCAUGCCGCGUGUGUGAAGAAGGUCUUCGGAUUGUAAAGCACUUUAAGUUGGGGAGGAAGGGUUGUACGUUAAUACCGUGCAAUUUUAGACGU
rnacentral:rRNA from 1 species